UUUACAAACCUUUAGCUAGACAGAAAAGUUCUCCAGGUCCCCCACCCAACCCAAAAGCCCAGCCAGCUUCACCUCUCAAUGGCACUCUCCACAGGAGUUUGCAGCACCUAGCCCAGGCACUCCGGCAGCCCAGAGGGAGCUCGUCCCCCAUCAGGCCCAGGAGGCGCUGGCCUGCCGCGCCGAGUACGGGGCCCACCCAGCCGGCGCCCACCCGGAACCCGCGCCGGGCCGGCGCCCACCCGGAACCCGCGCCGGGCCGGCGCCCACCCGGAACCCGCGCCGGGCCGGCGCCCACCCGGAACCCGCGCCGGGCCGGCGCCCACCCGGAACCCGCGCCGGGCCGGCGCCCACCCGGAACCCGCGCCGGGCCGGCGCCCACCCGGAACCCGCGCCGGGCCGGCGCCCACCCGGAACCCGCGCCGGGCCGGCGCCCACCCGGAACCCGCGCCGGGCCGGCGCCCACCCGGAACCCGCGCCGGGCCGGCGCCCACCCGGAACCCGCGCCGGGCCGGCGCCCACCCGGAACCCGCGCCGGCCCGGGAGCGCCGCGCAGCCCGGGCUCCCGCCCGUGCCUCCGCCUCCACACCUCCCCGCGAGCAGAGGGAGCCGGCUCCGGCCUCGGCCAGCCCCAGAGAGGGGGUCCCCACAGCGCAGCGGCGGGCUAAAGGGCUCCUCCAGCGCGGCCAGAGCGGACGCCUAGGCCGAGGAGAUGCCGAGAGGGAGCGAGGGCUGCUAGAACGUUGUCACCUCUCAAAACCUGGGUUAAACCUGGGUAACCUGGGUUACUCUCUACUGGUAGAGACAUUGGCUUCUCACUGCAGACCUUGAUAGAAAUGUAGUAGCAUUUGAAUCAAUAGGCUGUGUAAAGAAGAUCUGCACUCACCAAUGUAGGCCAGCAUCAUCCAAUCCACUGAAGGCCUGUAUAGAACAAAAACUUACCCUCUCUUUCAGAGCUAGGCCAUUUAUCUUCUCCCCUUCUCAGAAAUCAGCACACCUGGUUCUCAAACAUUUGACUUGACCUGGGACUUACUUCAGUCUCUCCCCAUCUCCCUCCCCCAUCUCACCUUUGGAGUUGACUGAAUUACACCACUGUUUUUCCUGGUUCUCCAGCUUGCAGAUGGCAAAUCAUGGGAUUUCUCCACCUCUAUAAUUCCCAUAAUAAAUUAUAACAUGAGUCAAUUUCCAUAGUAAAUUUCUACACACACAAACACGUAGAUGUAUGUCCUAUUGGUUUUGUUUUUCUGAGAAAUACUGCCUAAUAAAAAACGUGUGCGUGUGUGUGUGUUUAAAUAAAUUGUAAAGGCCAGGCU
rnacentral:lncRNA from 1 species